rnacentral:lncRNA from 9 species
GCCAUUUAACAUAUAUUUAUUGAAAUCUACUUGAUGCAAGGCACUGUGCUAGGUCUGGUAGGGGCAUCGGACACGAGGGGCCACCCCUGUCUUCUAAGAGCUCACAAUCUAACGGGUGGGGCGGGGGCGGGGGCGGGGGCGGGCGAAGCUCUAGUGCAAGGCCAAUUAUAGUAAGUGCCGUAAGACAGAUAAGUUAAGGAGACGGGGGAGGAAGGAGAAAAGAGCGCCAACAACCCAAAUACAAACUGGGGCAGGACACAGCUGUUCUCAGAUAUGCAAGUAACUUUGAAGGCCAUGUUUAAAGAGACCAUGUCACCUUUUGAAAGUAAACAGCCCAACGGGUGCAAGGAGAACCACAGAACGAAAGUACACGAGCCAUACAGAGGUUAUCAACUCCCCGAUCUGACGGAUUUGCUGGAAGUGGUUCAAGGCCUGUGGAUUGCACGACCUGGAAGGUACCUCAGGCCAGCUGAAGCAGCCGGAAUCCAUCGAAAUGCUAGAAGCUACUCUCAUAGGCAAAAGGGGAAACACGGACACUUAUAAAUUGCUGGUGGCAGUAGAGGUUGGCUUCAACCUUUCCGACGACAAAUGUGUAAGCGCUACAAAACGGUUCAUCUCCUUUGACUCUGCCCCCCUCGCCCAGGGCCCUGGGCGCCUCGGCCGGCGGCCGGCGGCCGGCAGCCGUGGGGCUGCGGCCGGUCUUACUCGUGGUGGCUGGGCUGAUGCUUCUGCAGCGCCGACCGCCUCUUGAACACGCGGCCACACUCGCUGCACUCGCAGCGCCUCGCUCCGCUGUGGGUCCUGCGAUGGCGACUCAGGCCGGAGCUCCUGCGGAAGGCCUUCCCGCACGUGUCGCACUCGUAGGGCUUCAGUCCGCUGUGGAUGCGCCGGUGCUUGAUCAGGUCGGAGGGCCCGCGGAAGGCCUUGCCGCAGUCGCCGCAGGCGUAGGGCCGCUCGCCGGUGUGGAUGCGCUGGUGCUCCAGGAGGCUGGAGCUCUGCCGGAAGGCCUUGCCGCACUGGCCGCACGCGUAGGGCUUCUCGCCCGUGUGGAUGCGCCGGUGCUUGGUGAGCUCCGAGCUCCUCCGGAAGAGCUUGCCGCAGUGCGGGCAGCCGUAGGGCUUGGCCCCGCUGUGGAUGCGCUGGUGCUCGGCCAGGCCGUUGACCCCUCGGAAGGACUUGCCGCAGUCGUCGCAGUCGAAGGGCAGGUGGCCGGUGUGCAUUCGCUGGUGCUUGAGCAGCUCCUGGCGGUCCAGGAAAUCCCGGCUGCACGUCUUGCAGGCGAAGGGCUUUUCCGAGGUGUGCAGCUUCUGGUGUCGGAAGAGGUGGGUGUUCACUUUGAAGGCGCGCCCACACUCCUCGCAGCCAAAGGGCUUCUCCCUGCUGUGCACACGCAGGUGCUGACUGAGGCCCGCGUUCUUCUUGAACCUCUUGCCGCACUCAUCGCACUCGAAGGGCUUCGCCUCCCUCUCCAUCUGCUCCCCCUUCGCCGCCGCUUCAUCCAGGGCGCGGCUGGGGCCGGGCCGGGGCUCGGGGGCCGCGUGGCUCUUGCGGUGCUCGUUGAACUCCGACGCCCCCCGGAAGACCUCCCCGCAGUCGCCGCACUCCCAGCCCUUCUCCUCGCUGGGGGCGGGGCGGGAAGGGGACGUGGCUGAGCCCCGGGGGACUGGGGGGCCAGGGUCAGGCCAGAUCCCAGGGGUGUCGCGCGCGCGGGCCAGAUGCUCGGAGAGAGGCGGGAUCGGCUGAAAUGGAUGUACUACUGAAUGAAUGAACGAGCGAACGAACCGACUAGCACACGAAGGAGGGGGCGAAGGCGGGGAAGGGACCCCCCGCCUUGGGCUCAUUCUGGAUGGGACCAUGGGCGGGGGGCGGGAUGAGAACGGAGGGCGUAGCAGAGCCACGCCAGCCCCCACUGCAGGGGUCAGAGUGCCUCACUCAGUCAAGGAAGGUGUUGUGAGCCCUCGCUGUGCCACGCACCGAGAAUACGGCUGCGAGCAAAACCAGGCUGCAUCACUGCCCUCAGGGGGCGCGCAUUUGGCGCCCGAGAGCUCCUAUGAGUACGUGUUGGUGUGCGUGUUGUGUGUGUGUGUGCGCGCGCGCGCGCGGGCACAGGAAAAGUGGAGGGGAAACGCAUUGAGUUAAUUUCAAAAGAGCAGGUCGCACUAUGAAAAGAGCAGGAUCCUUGGAUCAGCGGUGCCGCAAGUAGAGACGGCCGCUUCCAGAUGAAUUUGCUCCCCGUCAGAAAAGCUCCGGAAGCUGCUGCGCCCUGCCCUGUGCUAAGCCCAUUGAUGCUUUCUUGAAGAUCACUGUUCCGUAAGGAAGGUAGUAUACAAGGAGCAGCAAAUAACGCACAAGAAUGAUAAGAACUGUGAAGAACAUCAAUGAGGGUGAUGCUUGGGAGUGAUGGGUGGAGGGUUCCAGUGAGGCUGCCGUUGAUAUGAGACUUGAAAGACAAGGACUCAGACUGUGAAGGUUAUAGAAGAUAGGGGAUCAUCCGCAGGCGGAAGGAAGAGCAAGCUCAGAUCCCCUGUGACAGGAACCCAUUGGGCAUCACCUAGGAUCAAAAGAAAAAUGCAGUACGCCAAGGGAAAAAGCCAC